rnacentral:rRNA from 1 species
GGGCCCGCACAAGCGGUGGAGUAUGUGGUUUAAUUCGAUGCAACGCGAAGAACCUUACCAGGGUUUGACAUCCUGCGAAUUUCUGGGAAACCGGAAAGUGCCUUCGGGAGCGCAGUGACAGGUGGUGCAUGGCUGUCGUCAGCUCGUGUCGUGAGAUGUUGGGUUAAGUCCCGCAACGAGCGCAACCCACGUCUUUAGUUGCCAGCAUUUAGUUGGGCACUCUAGAGAGACCGCCGGUGAUAAACCGGAGGAAGGUGUGGAUGACGUCAAGUCAUCAUGCCCCUUACAUCCUGGGCUGCACGCAUUGCUACAAUGGCAAGUACAACGAGUCGCAAUACCGCGAGGUGGAGCAAAUCUCUUAAAGCUUGUCUCAGUUCGGAUAGGAGUCUGCAACUCGACUCCUUGAAGUUGGAGUCGCUAGUAAUCGCAAAU